rnacentral:rRNA from 1 species
AGGAAAGCAGGGGAUCGUAAGACCUCGCGUUAAUGGAGUGGCCGAUAUCUGAUUAGCUAGUUGGUGAGGUAAAGGCUCACCAAGGUGACGAUCAGUAGCUGGUCUGAGAGGACGACCAGCCACACUGGAACUGAGACACGGUCCAGACUCCUACGGGAGGCAGCAGUGGGGAAUUUUGGACAAUGGGCGCAAGCCUGAUCCAGCCAUUCCGCGUGAGUGAAGAAGGCCUUCGGGUUGUAAAGCUCUUUCGCAAGGGAAGAAAACUUACUCAAUAACACUGGGUGAGGCUGACGGUACCUUGAUAAGAAGCACCGGCUAACUACGUGCCAGCAGCCGCGGUAAUACGUAGGGUGCGAGCGUUAAUCGGAAUUACUGGGCGUAAAGCGUGCGCAGGCGGUUUUGUAAGUCAGAUGUGAAAGCCCCGGGCUCAACCUGGGAACUGCGUUUGAAACUACAAAGCU